AAAAACAUUGCAAGAAGAUGCCAAGGUUCGCCAUUAGCAGCCAACGUGGUUGGGGGAGUGCUGCGUAAUAAGUCCGAACAAAAAUGGCUCUCCAUCGAGCAGAAAUGGCUUUCACAAGAUGAAGGAGCUAAUAUCUCAAAAAUAUUGAGAUUGAGCUUUGAUAAUUUGUCUCCGCCAUUACUUAAGAAGUGCUUUGCAUACUGUGCGAUUUUUCCUAAAGGCUACGGAAUCAUCAAACAGAGACUGAUUGAGUUGUGGAUGGCAGAAGGGUUUCUUCAAGGUGAUGGAAGGGAUGAGAUGGAGUCUGUGGGCGAAAAAUUUAUCAAUGUUCUUCUACACAACUCUUUGCUGCAAGUUUCAGAGAGAGAUGACUACGGAGAUGUAGAAAGUUGUAGCAUGCACGAUCUUGUGCACGAUCUCGCUUCUUCUGUUUCAAUUUCCACUAACAAUACUGAUGGUAGCGGCCGAGUUCGAUACAUGAUGACUCACCGAGACGACACCUCUGGAGAUAUAACAAAUCCUAUCCCAAAAGAAAUGGCAAAAUCUUUGCGUACAUUAUUCAUGGAAGAUGAUAUUUCUUGUAUCAACUUCUCAGACCUUGAAAGUCUGCAUGUUUUAGGUCUUGAUGAGUAUGGAGUUAAAGAGUUGUCAAGUUCGAUUCGAAAGUUGAUACAUUUGAGACAUUUUGACAUUUCAGAGACAAAAAUUGAACAUUUGCCGGAUUGGAUUGGUGAAUUAUUUCACUUGCAGACGUUGAGAGUAGACACAGAAUGUUUGAAGAAACUGCCAAGUACGAUUAAGUACUUGAUUAACUUGAGGCAUCUUUAUAUUAACUGGAAUCAUGAGUUGCCUGCGGGAAUCGGGCGAUUAACUUCUCUCCAAACGCUGAAGUACUUCCCAGUGGGGGACGAGAAUGGGUGCAAAAUUGAAGAGCUCGGAAGUUUGAAUAAUCUUAAAGGAGAGUUACGGAUUUUAAAUCUGGAAAGGGUUCGUGACAAGGAAGAGGCUGGGAAAGCCAAUUUAUUCAAAAAGUCAAAAAUAUUGAAUUUGUGUUUGAAGUGGGAUGAAGACAGAGAAGGUGAAAGAAAUGACGAGAAUGUAUUGGAAGGCCUCCAACCUCACUCGGACUUGAAGAAGUUAGAGAUUUCUGGUUACAUUGGCAAAGGAUUUCCAUUAUGGACUCGGAAGAUGGCAGUUGGAGAUGUGGUACUUAACAAGUUAAUGUACUUAACACUCUGGGACUGCUCUGAAUGUGAAGAGAUCCCAAUGUUGGGGCACUUGCCCAAUCUCAAGUCCCUUCUGUUGUUUAGAUUGAGAAAUUUGAAGUGUAUAAAUUCAUCAUUCUACGGAAUGGUGAACAAGGACACACGCAUUGUUUUUCCAGCUCUCCAAACGCUCCAAUUGUGGUCGAUGCAAAAUCUGACAGAGUGGGCAAAACUUGAAGUUUCGGGUGCAAGUGAAGUGAAUCUAUUUCCUCGCCUCCAACAUCUCCAAAUUAUGUGGUGUGAGCAAUUGAUGAGUGUUCCAAGUCAUGUCUCGUCAUGCCUUCAACAUUUGAAAAUUGAUGGAAUUGGUGUGGAAUGUCUCCCAGUUAAUUGGUUAUUCAGUAACAACCAGACUCUCUCUGAAUUGUAUAUAAGGAAGUGCCCCAAUUUGAGAGAAUUACGGGACAGAGAUAGCGGUGGAGAACAAUCCCAACGAAGCUUCACAUCCCUUCGCCAUCUCCAUAUUGUUAACUGCAAAGCAUUGGAGUAUUUGCCAUGUGAAAUGAUAGGAUUCUCUCUUGAGGAGAUGUGGUUGGAGGGUCUAAGUAGCCUAAAGAAUCUACCAAAGGUAUUUGGCAGCCUUUCAAAAUCGCCUCGUCUGAAAAAUUUAUCAAUCGUUGGCGUUCCUAAAUUUAUGGCCAAUUGUUAUGUUGAGACUCCACAUUUUCCCAAUUUGAGAGACGUAAAAGUCGGUGUUAGUAUGAGCUCGAUGGAGGCUGUAGAUGGCAUAUUACAAGAAUGCUGCCACUCACUAAAUGAGUUAACUCUGGUGGGGAUGGAAAGUUGUGAAUGCCUGCCGGAAUCAAUUCAACUUCUCACUGCUCUUCCUGAGCUAGAGUUAAAGAAUUUUGGAAUGGAAGAGUUACCUGAAUGGUUUGGGAACCUCUCAUCUCUAGAGACAUUGAGGUUAGAGAACUGCAAAAGGCUAAGGCGUCUACCCUCUAUGGAUGCAAUGCGGCGCCUCACAACAUUAAAACGAUUAGUUAUUGCGGAUUGUCCGGAAUUAGUGAUUAAAAGUGAGGCAGCUGAUUCUGAAUGGCCCAAGGUUUCCCAUAUCCCCAACAUCUACAUUAAUGGCGACAAAUACAACUACAUUGCCUGUGUCGGUAAGUAUCAAAUAUAUGUGUUUGUUUGUUUUAAUAGAAACAAUUAGUAUAUGUGUUUUAUUUGAAAAAAAAAUUCUAGUUAUCAUAAAUUGAGAUUACAGAGUUUCUAACUCGAUUGCUGUUAAUUUGGUGCUCCACUUCAUCUCAAUAUGCUUAAAGAUAUAGGAGAUUAAUUAUUUUGAGUUUGUUUACUAACAUUUUUACAGCCAGUCUCCUCAAUUUACCUUUUCCCAUUAAUUCUUUUUUUGUGUAGAUACAGAAAGUGGUACGAAGAAACAGUUGUGUUUGGGGUGCCUCUAAAGAAUUGGGAUGUGAAGCAAGGGAUCAAUGAAGAAUGAAUGAGUGAGUAUCCAUUUUCUCCAUCAUUGACUUGCUCAACAUAACUUUCGUCUUCUAUUAAAAAAUCCUCAACUUUCAACAUUUUCUAUAAAAAAAGUUUGUUAUACAAAUUGACGACGAACGGUGAGUUAUUUCACCAAAUUAUUACACGGAACAACAUCAUUUUAUUAGGUGAGGUGAGAAAAACUUCAUCCAUGCAAGAAUUCAACGAGGUGGAUAGCGGGUCAUUUUAUUGAAAAUACUAAAAGUUGAGGUUUUUUAUUUUUGUUUUUGUUCAAAGAUAUUGAAAUUUGAGAAUACAAAACAUGAUUAAUUAUUUUUAUUUUAGUUGAUAGAAUACAAAAGUUGUUGAUGACAUUGGUUUCUUUGAUGAUUUUAAGGUGGUUUACCUGUCUGGGCUUACAUGCACAGCAUGUUGCUUCUGCUGAGGGAGUUUCUCUGAUAGCCACACACACUUCUCCUAGUGAGCCCUUUUUGUUUUGGAUUGAAUUCUACUAUAUAUUAAUGUUUGCUAUAUUUCACUUUGUGUGAGUAUUGUUCUCAAGAAUUGUGGCAGAACGCUUUUUUGCUUUGUUUAAUGUUUAGAAGGUAUUCUCAGACACCAUAAAUGAACUCGUUUGAAAGAUUCUUACAUGCUCCUUCAUCCUCGAGAGUUUCAAGUAUCUGAGUUUUCAAUUAUAGUUGAUGGCAGUUGAGAUUCUUUUGUCGAUUAUGUGUUCAUAAAUUUAUUGCAUCUUUGGUUUUCUUAAUGACUAUGCAUUGAAGGUGAUUUGAAUUUGGCACCAACUUGGAUUGAAGAUUUCUAUGUAGUGUAAUGCAUUAUGACGAGAACGACUAAUUGCAUAAUGAUGCUAAUUUUUGAAUGUGAUGUAAAUUUGGUUUAGGGAUUUGAUUUUUAAUAUGUAAUAGAGUGUUUACUUUGAAGGAUUAGCAUUGAUAGAUAAAAAUAGUAAGGUUAAUCUGUUAUUUACGUUAAUGGAUUGUAACUUUAAGAUAUUCCAAAGCAUUUGAAUAUUUUUACCAUUUAAAACUAGUUUUGCUUGAUUCUUAUAUCAUUGAAAGGUAAACGCCCCCUAAUUGUCUUGUAGAUGCAACGCUCGUCUGCACCCUCAUGUCGUCAACUGCCGCGAGAAGAAGUGUGGACACAGCAAUCAGUUGGGGCCGAAGAAGAAGACAACAAGUAGACUGCUGGAUUGAUCGCUUAUCUUGUUGCCAUUUUGUCCCCUCUACUUUAGUUAUUGCCAAUGAAAACUAAAUAGUGUUUCUGUUUUCUCUGUUAGACAUUGAAGCUUAAUGACACAUUUGCAGUUUUAUAUUGUUGAAAUGAAUUGGUUUUUCCUACCUUUUAUUGUUAUUGAUGUUAAAGAUUUAGUUAGUGUUUAUUUUUGGAUUAUCCUGCGAACCUCGAACACUUUUCUUAUAUGGCAAAAAAUAUCAUUUAUUUAUAUUUUCAUUUUUUCACCUACCAUAUUUAACAUACAAAAUACUUGCUUCUUAAAAUCUGUGCCAAUGUUGGGGCACUUGCCCAAUCUCAAGUCCCUUUUGUUGUGUGGAUUGAGAAAUUUGAAGUGUAUAAAUUCUUCAUUCUACGGAAUGGUGAACAAGGACACACGCAUUGUUUUUCCAGCUCUCGAAAAUCUCGAAUUGUGGUUUAUUCAAAAUCUGACAGAGUGGGCAAAACUUGAAGUUUCGGGUGCAGGUGAAGUGAAGCUAUUUCCUCGCCUCCAACAUCUCGGAAUUUCGGGGUGCUUGCAAUUGAUGAGUGUUCCAAGUCAUGUCUCGUCAUGCCUUCAACAUUUGAAAAUUGAGGGAAUUGGUGUGGAAUGUCUCCCAGUUGAUUGGUUAUUCAGUAACAACCAGACUCUCUCUGAAUUGUAUAUAAGGGAGUGCCCCAAUUUGAGAGAAUUACGGGACAGAGAUAGCGGUGGAGAACAAUCCCAACGAAGCUUCACAUCCCUUCGCCAUCUCCAUAUUGUUAACUGCAAAGCAUUGGACUAUUUGCCAUGUGAAAUGAUAGGAUUCUCUCUUGAGGAGAUGUCGUUGGAGGGUCUAAGUAGCCUAAAGAAUCUACCAAAGGUAUUUGACAGCCUCUCAGAAUCGCCUCGUCUGAAAAAUUUAUCAAUAGUUGGCGUUCCUAAAUUUAUGGCCAAUUGUUAUGUUGAGACUCCACAUUUUCCCUAUUUGAGAGACGUAAAAAUGGGUGUCAGUAUGAGCUCGAUGGAGGCUGUAGAUGGCAUAUUACAAGAAUGCUGCCACUCACUAAAUAAGUUAACUCUGGUGGGGAUGGAAAGUUGGGAAUGCCUGCCGGAAUCAAUUCAACUUCUCACUGCUCUUUCUAAGUUACGGUUAUAUAAUUUUGGAAUGGAAGAGUUAGCUGAAUGGUUUGGGAACCUCUCAUCUCUAAAGGAGUUGAAGUUAGAAAACUGCAAAAGGCUAAAGCGUCUACCCUCUAUGGAUGCAAUGCAGCGCCUCACAACGUUAAAAAAACUAUCUAUUAGGCGUUGCCCAGAAUUAGUGAUUAAAAGGGAGGCAGCUGAUUCUGAAUGGCCCAAGGUUUCCCAUAUCCCCCACAUCACCAUUGGCGAUCACAGUGAGUAUCUAUCAAUAUAUUUUCUUGUUUAUUUUUAUAUAUAUAGAAACUAUUACAUGUGUAUUUUAUUUGAAAAAAAAAUGAUUAUCAGAAAUUGAAGUAUCGUAUCUUACUUUAUGGAGUUUAAUUCCAAUUCAGUUGCUAUUCAUUUGGUGCUCCACUUCAUCUCGAUAUGCUUAAACAAUAUGAGAUUAAUUAUUUUGAGUUUGUUUACUACAGAAUUACGGUGAAUCGUCAUUUGUCAUUGAGGUGAUUGUAACAAAUUAGGAGGUGAAGCAAUGGAUCAAAUUGAAGCAAUGAACAAAUUGAGUGAGUGUCCAUUUUGAUUUGAACUUUUGUUGAUAGGAUUAUAAUGCCGAAAGUUGAAGAGGAUGCAUGUGGAUAUCAAUUUGUUGCAGACAGACAAAGCAUCUCCACUUCUACUCAUGUUUUUAUAUUUAUGUUAUAUGUGAUUUUGUGUUAUGUCUUUCUUUACCUUAUUUUGAUUGAGACUGUAAAUUGCAAACUAAUUUCCCCAUUCUGGUUUAGCAUAAAGUGUNCAGUAACAACCAGACUCUCUCUGAAUUGUAUAUAAGGGAGUGCCCCAAUUUGAGAGAAUUACGGGACAGAGAUAGCGGUGGAGAACAAUCCCAACGAAGCUUCACAUCCCUUCGCCAUCUCCAUAUUGUUAACUGCAAAGCAUUGGACUAUUUGCCAUGUGAAAUGAUAGGAUUCUCUCUUGAGGAGAUGUCGUUGGAGGGUCUAUUUAGCCUAAAGAAUCUACCAAAGGUAUUUGACAGCCUCUCAGAAUCGCCUCGUCUGAAAAAUUUAUCAAUAGUUGGCGUUCCUAAAUUUAUGGCCAAUUGUUAUGUUGAGACUCCACAUUUUCCCUAUUUGAGAGACGUAAAAAUGGGUGUCAGUAUGAGCUCGAUGGAGGCUGUAGAUGGCAUAUUACAAGAAUGCUGCCACUCACUAAAUAAGUUAACUCUGGUGGGGAUGGAAAGUUGGGAAUGCGUGCCGGAAUCAAUUCAACAUCUCACUGCUCUUUCUAAGCUAAAGUUAGAUAAUUUUGGAAUGGAAGAGUUAGCUGAAUGGUUUGGGAACCUCUCAUCUCUAAAGGAGUUGAAGUUAGAAAACUGCAAAAGGCUAAAGCGUCUACCCUCUAUGGAUGCAAUGCAGCGCCUCACA
rnacentral:lncRNA from 1 species